rnacentral:lncRNA from 1 species
UUAGGGAUAAAAACAUACAUAGUCUAUCAAAAGUUUUUUUUAUCACGAGCCAUAAAAGAUAGAAGAAUAUAUAUGGCGAGAAACUGUGUGACACUCGCACUAACAAUAUUGAUUAUUGGAAUGGUUUUUUGUGUUGCUGAUGAAUUUCAUGACAAUAUUGCUAAACAAUUUAAUCCAUCUUAUUAUUAUAUUGCAAUGAUAGCUCGUAGACAGUGUAUUGCAAGCUGUAAAAGGCAUUCUCGCCACCCAAUAGUUUUGUUUUUGUGCACUAGUAGUUGCGCAACUAGAUACGCAUUUGACUAGUACUUUAGUAAUAGUAAUUAUCUAAAUUAUUAUGAAUGUUCUUUUGAGUUUUUGUGAUUUCUUUGUUUUCAUAUUCUGAAAUAUGAAUAUUUUAUAUUUGAUGUAAUAAAUUCUCUCUUGAUUAAUGAGUGUUGAGAGAUUAAUGAUGAAAAAAUAAUCAAAGGUAUUCACCUAAUUGUAAUUGAAUAAUUUAAGCAAAUUUAUUGGGUGCUUAAAAGUGGACAUUCAUAAUAAUGUAUGAAUCACAAGUACAUCAUACUUUUAUCUUC